UCCCUGGUGGCUCAGAUGGUAGGGAGUCUGCCUGCAAUGCAGGAAGCCCAGGUUCAAUCCCUGAGUCAGGAA
rfam:TPA: Bos taurus chromosome 7, whole genome shotgun sequence.